GUGCUCCCUCUAGCAGCACAUAUACUAAAAUGGAAAUGAUAUAGCAAAGAUUAGCAUCGCCUCUGUGCAAGGAUGGCAGCAAAUUCAUGGAGCAUUUUAUACUUCU
rnacentral:snRNA from 1 species